AUUGAUGCUCUUAGAAAGCAUAUAAGACAAUUCAAAACGAAAAUGUAAGUAAUAUUAAAUAAAUAAAUUUCUGUUGGUUCCCCUUGGUUCGUGUCUUUUUUCCUUCAAAGUGCUGGGUGAGAAUGAGAGGACCUGUCACGGCGUUAUUGCCUUAUUGAACCAUCAAGGAAAGCAAGCGGAGAGUAAACCCUGGAAGGGGACGAGAAUGUUUACACGUCAAAUUACGAAGGGUCUCUGACGUCAACGAGUCUAUACCUGGGAUAGGGUCUAUGCUCGAGUCCCGAGAGAGACAGGCGGGGAGAAGGAGCGUCAGAGGGAAAAGUUACAUCUAAAAAUAUCCCUCGAUUUUUUUAUUCAAGUUUGCAGGAGUAUAAGAAUUAAUACUAGGUUACUAUAACAUGUAUGUGCAACAAACAUGUCUGUGCAGAGCCUAACCAUAGACUACGUCAGCCAAGUAGACCAUCAUCUGAAGCACGCCCAAACGAGAGCUCACUGUGCUGACGCAUUUAUGCAGCGCACGUCACAGGAGUGUAGACGCUUUUUCAGCACCACCGCAUUGGACAGCUCUUUGGGUGAGGACAAGGUGAAAGCAAGCAAGUGGUUUCAGAUGGGCAAAUGAUUCUCGGUGAAAAACAUGGAUGAUUGAAAUAGAUAUUUACUGUGUGCUUUGAAUGUAGGUCAUAUAUUAUCAUCGUAAUACACUCAGUAUACAACACUUUAAGAACACCUGCUCUUUCAUGACAGACUGACCAGGUGAAUCCAGGUGAAAGCUAUGAUCCGCUACUGAUGUCACUUGUUAAAUCCAUUACAAUCAGUGUAGAUGAAGGGGAGGAGACAGCUUAAAGAAGGAUUUUUAAGCCUUGAGACAACUGAGACAUGGAUUGUGGAUUGUGUAUACUCAGUGUAUAACAGCCUGUAUAAUAGGGCAUAGGGUUUAAAGGGCAUACAACCUAAUACUAGGCCUAUGUUUAUGAUACUGAAUGAUAAUUAUUUUUGGGGGGGGCACAUGCCUAUUACAUAGCCGAGACUUAUGAUAAGAAUAGGCUAACGAAGUAGCCUAAGUAGUCUAUUAGUAUUUUGUAGACCAAGUAGUCUAUUAGUAUUUUGUAGACUAAGUAGUGUAUGUUAUUUGGAAUUUGACUGUAGGGUGUCAGAAAAUAUAAUUAAAAGUUUACCCUAUUCGCCUAUGGCAAAGAUACUAUAUGUUUCCCCUUUCAUCUGUGUCUGGUAUUAACUAGUUACUGGCUAGCUAGGUGUUUCAGACAGCAUGGAACAAAAGGGGGGAAGGGUUAUUGAAAACUCUGACACAGUUGUCAAGUCAACACAUCUGUCAGUGCUGCUGUGAAGAGAUGCCAAACGAGAGAUCUAUAUGAAAAAAUAUAUAUAUCAUUGAUGCAAUUUCAAUGUCUGAGUUGCUUCAUGUAUCACCAAAUUAACUUGAGAUGAUUUUACUGCAACACUGCUCACUGCAUCCAAGUUGCUUGGCAG
rnacentral:lncRNA from 8 species